CGCGUGCACUGGUCCGGCCGGGCCUUUCCUUCUGUGGAACCCCAUGCCCUUCACUGGGUGUGGCGGGGAAACAGGACUUUUACUUUGAAAAAAUUAGAGUGCUCCAGGCAGGCCUAUGCUCGAAUACAUUAGCAUGGAAUAAUAGAAUAGGACGCGUGGUUCUAUUUUGUUGGUUUCUAGGACCGCCGUAAUGAUUAAUAGGGACAGUCGGGGGCAUCAGUAUUCAAUUGUCAGAGGUGAAAUUCUUGGAUCUAUUGAAGACUAACUACUGCGAAAGCAUUUGCCAAGGAUGUUUUCAUUGAUAAGGAACGAAAGUUAGGGGAUCGAAGACGAUCAGAUACCGUCGUAGUCUUAACUAUAAACUAUGCCGACUAGGGAUCGGACGAUGUUAUUUCUUGAUGCGUUCGGCACCUUUCGAGAAAUCAAAGUGCUUGGGCUCCAGGGGGAGUAUGGUCGCAAGGCUGAAACUUAAAGAAAUUGACGGAAGGGCACCACCAGGGGUGGAACCUGCGGCUUAAUUUGACUCAACACGGGGAAACUCACCAGGUCCAGACACAGUGAGGAUUGACAGAUUGAGAGCUCUUUCUUGAUUCUGUGGGUGGUGGUGCAUGGCCGUUCUUAGUUGGUGGAGUGAUUUGUCUGCUUAAUUGCGAUAACGAACGAGACCUUAACCUGCUAAAUAGCCCGUACUGCUCUGGCAGUUCGCCGGCUUCUUAGAGGGACUAUCGG
rnacentral:rRNA from 1 species